CAAUAGCGUAUAUUAAAGUUGUUGCAGUUAAAAAGCUCGUAGUUGAAUUUUUGCUUGCCGCCGAUGUCGGAACUUCCGUACGUUCGGCGGCGUGCAUCCUUGGGUGGAACCUGUGUGGCAUUAGGUUGUCGUGCAGGGGAUGCUCAUCGUUUACUGUGAAAAAAUUAGAGUGUUCAAAGCAGGCUUAUGCCGUUGAAUAUAUUAGCAUGGAAUAAUAAGAUAGGACUUUGGUACUAUUUUGUUGGUUUGCGCACCGAGGUAAUGAUUAACAGGGACAGUUGGGGGUAUUCGUAUUCCAUUGUCAGAGGUGAAAUUCUUGGAUUUCUGGAAGACGAACUACUGCGAAAGCAUUUACCAAGGAUGUUUUCAUUAA
rnacentral:rRNA from 1 species